rnacentral:rRNA from 1 species
AGCGAACGCUGGCGGCAGGCCUAACACAUGCAAGUCGAACGAACCCUUCGGGGUUAGUGGCGGACGGGUGAGUAACACGUGGGAACGUGCCUUUAGGUUCUGAAUAACUCAGGGAAACUUGUGCUAAUACCGAAUGUGCCCUUCGGGGGAAAGAUUUAUCGCCUUUAGAGCGGCCCGCGUCUGAUUAGCUAGUUGGUGAGGUAAUGGCUCACCAAGGCUACGAUCAGUAGCUGGUCUGAGAGGAUGACCAGCCACAUUGGGACUGAGACACGGCCCAAACUCCUACGGGAGGCAGCAGUGGGGAAUCUUGCGCAAUGGGCGAAAGCCUGACGCAGCCAUGCCGCGUGGAUGAUGAAGGUCUUAGGAUUGUAAAAUCCUUUCACCGGUGAAGAUAAUGACUGUAGCCGGAGAAGAAGCCCCGGCUAACUUCGUGCCAGCCGCAGCAGUAAUAC